rnacentral:rRNA from 1 species
UACGGAGGGAGCUAGCGUUGUUCGGAAUUACUGGGCGUAAAGCGCACGUAGGCGGCUUUGUAAGUUAGAGGUGAAAGCCCGGGGCUCAACUCCGGAAUUGCCUUUAAAACUGCAUCGCUAGAAUUGUGGAGAGGUAAGUGGAAUUCCGAGUGUAGAGGUGAAAUUCGUAGAUAUCCGGAAGAACACCAGUGGCGAAGGCGGGUCUCUGGGCCGAUACUGACGCUGAGGAGCGAAAGCGUGGGGAGCGAACAGG